rnacentral:rRNA from 1 species
UACGAAGGGGGCGAGCGUUGUUCGGAAUUACUGGGCGUAAAGGGCGCGUAGGCGGCGACCCAAGUCAGAUGUGAAAUUCCUGGGCUUAACCUGGGGGCUGCACUUAAUACGGCCAGGCUUGAGUGUGAAAGAGGGUCGUGGAAUUCCCAGUGUAGAGGUGAAAUUCGUAGAUAUUGGGAAGAACACCGGUGGCGAAGGCGGCGACCUGGUUCAUUACUGACGCUGAGGCGCGAAAGCGUGGGGAGCAAACAGG